rnacentral:rRNA from 1 species
UAGAUACCCUAUUAUAAAAAUUUAAAUUGAUUUACUAAAAAAUUAAUAGUUAUGUUCUUUAAAUUUAAAAAAUUUGGCGGUAUUUUAGUCUUAUUAGAGGAACCUGUUUUUUAAUUGAUAAUCCACGAUUAAUUUUACUUAUUUUAUUUUAAUUCAUAUAUCGCUGUCAUGAAUAUAUUUAAAAAUUAAUUUUCUUUAUUUAUUGUUAUAAUUUAUGUUAAGUCAAGAUGUGGUUUAUAAAUAAGUGUAUAAUGGGUUACAUUAAAUUUUAUUUAUGGAUUUUAAAUGAAAAUUAGAAUGAAAUUGGAUUUAAUAGUAAAUUUAUUUA